rnacentral:lncRNA from 1 species
UGAUUAUAUGGUCAAAGAUACAACAAACGAAAAGACGUGAUGAUCGUCUUCUUCUGAUCAAGUUUCCCGAUUGCUCCUUUUCUUUUAACUUGCUUCUUUCGCAUUAUUGUCUCUUUUUUUUUAACACAGCAUUAUUGUCUACUGCUUUUGGGCGAUCUUCAUUUUAAUACAUAUGGGUAUUGUCUUUUCAUUAAAUACUUUCUCUUUAUCAGAAACUAUACGACG